GACGAACGCUGGCGGCGUGCUUAACACAUGCAAGUCGAACGGAAAGGCCCUGCUUUUGUGGGGUGCUCGAGUGGCGAACGGGUGAGUAACACGUGAGUAACCUGCCCUUGACUUUGGGAUAACUUCAGGAAACUGGGGCUAAUACCGGAUAGGAGCUCCUGCUGCAUGGUGGGGGUUGGAAAGUUUCGGCGGUUGGGGAUGGACUCGCGGCUUAUCAGCUUGUUGGGGGGGUAGUGGCUUACCAAGGCUUUGACGGGUAGCCGGCCUGAGAGGGUGACCGGCCACAUUGGGACUGGGAUACGGCCCAGACUCCUACGGGAGGCAGCAGUGGGGAAUAUUGCACAGUGGGCGGAAGCCUGAUGCAGCAACGCCGCGUGCGGAUGACGGCCUUCGGGUUGUAAACCGCUUUCGCCUGUGACGAAGCGUGAGUGACGGUAAUGGGUAAAGAAGCACCGGCUAACUACGUG
rnacentral:rRNA from 1 species